UGGGGAAUAUUGGACAAUGGGCGAAAGCCUGAUCCAGCAAUACCGCGUGAAUGAUGAAGUAUUUCGGUAUGUAAACUUCGAAAGAAUAGGAAGAAUAAAUGACGGUACUAUUUAUAAGGUCCGGCUAACUACGUGCCAGCAGCCGCGGUAAUACGUAGGGACCAAGCGUUGUUCGGAUUUACUGGGCGUAAAGGGCGCGUAGGCGGCAAUUCAAGUCAUCUGUGAAAUCUCCGGGCUUAACUCGGAACGGUCAGAUGAUACUGCUUUGCUAGAGUGCAGAAGGGGCAAUCGGAAUUCUUGGUGUAGCGGUGAAAUGCGUAGAUAUCAAGAGGAACACCUGAGGUGAAGACGGGUUGCUGGGCUGACACUGACGCUGAGGCGCGAAAGCCAGGGGAGCAAACGGGAUUAGAUACCCCCGUAGUCCCUGAGCGGGCUGGCAAGGCGCAU
rnacentral:rRNA from 1 species